AGGCUCCCAGCUGGAAAGAGGAGCGGCAGAGAAGAGUCAGUGAGUGACGGGAAAAUACACUCAUUUCUUUCAAGGAUGUGUUGUCAUUGUUAAUCUGGUCUCCAAAUCCUGGAGUGUCAAUCACUGUCAGCUUCAUCUUCACCCCCUUCUCUUCAAUCACUAGACAGAGAGAGACAUAGAAGGUUUGUCACUGUCUGAGGUGUGUUCGUGUGCGAGACUCACCAACCACCAUGAUGUUGAACUCGAAGCCAGCCUUCUUGGUCUUGCUCCUCAUCUGGUCCAGUACUGCCUCAAUACCAAUGUACCC